AAAUCAACUCUGUAGUGAAUCAUGUUUUUUUUGUAUUGUAUCGUGAUAAAAAAUAAAGAAGCCGACAGUGUGAUCAGCCCUCCAUCAUCAUCCUCCUCCUCCUCCUCCUCUUGCAGCUGGCUAAAGUGAGAGGGCAACCAAACGAGCAACUCUCUGGCCUUCCUGUCGGACCCUCGGGUCGUCCGCGGUGGCGCCUCCCUCACACGUAGGGCAGGAUGCCGUACACGAACACGGCCAUGACGGCGGCGCUGAACAGGCCGGCCACGGGCACGGUGACGAACCACGCCAGGAAGAUGUUCCUGAAGAGGCGCCAGUCCACCGCCUUCCUGGAGCGGAUCCAGCCCACGGCCACCACUGAGCCCACCUGAGGAGGGGCGGCAGGGCGGGACAGAAAACACCAUCAGGCGUCGCGGUUUGGAGAGCGGAAGUACAUCACACGGCAAAGACAAAGACUGCAGGCUGAUUUGUAUUCUAUUAAUCAUUCAAUCAACUUUAACAAUAAUAAAGUAUUUUAUUAUGUUAUAUGUAAUUAAAGCAUUUACUAAUGCAGA